CAGUGUUGAUAGAGCUCAUCAUGAUAAGUGUUUUGAGCGAUAGAAUUUGGCAUAUGUUGUAUUGCUGCCAUUUUAUCGAGGAAAUAUGCCAGGAUUUUUGGAAGAAAAUCGAACCAAAAUUUUGCAGCAAUGCUGUGCAAAAACUACAUGCAGCAUAAAAAAUUCCAUCGCUCAAAACAAUCUACUUGCUUUGUAGUCAACAAAUAGCUCUUAGUGGUAAAAUUUGAUUAAAAUGGUAAGGCUGUAUUUUUUCUCAACUAACAGUGAUUUGUAUGAGACAUACACUGUGUUUAAUUACUAGA